CCUACGGGAGGCAGCAGUGAGGAAUAUUGGUCAAUGGCCGUAAGGCUGAACCAGCCAAGUCGCGUGAAGGAAGAAGGAUCUAUGGUUUGUAAACUUCUUUUAUAGGGGAAUAAAGGUAUCCACGUGUGGAUAUUUGCAUGUACCCUAUGAAUAAGCAUCGGCUAACUCCGUGCCAGCAGCCGCGGUAAUACGGAGGAUGCGAGCGUUAUCCGGAUUUAUUGGGUUUAACGGGUGCGUAGGUUGUUUUUUAAGUCAGCGGUGAAAGUUUGUGGCUCAACCAUAGAAUUGCCGUUGAUACUGGAAGACGUGAGUGUGUUAGAGGUAGGCGGAAUGCGUGGUGUAGCGGUGAAAUGCGUAGAUAUCACGAAGAACUCCGAUGGCGAAGGCAGCUUACUAGGCCAUAACUGACGCUGAAGCACGAAAGCGUGGGGAGCAAACAGGAUUAGAUACCCGUGUAGUC
rnacentral:rRNA from 1 species